rnacentral:lncRNA from 1 species
UAAUAGAAGCUCGAAGGGAAUUCAUUUAUAGUAGAGGCUUGAAUGAAAUUUGCUUACAGUAGAUGUCUGGGAUAGACAGUCCGCUGUAGGAGUUUAGAGUAGAUCGUUCGUAGUAGAAGUUCGGCUCUCGCGGGAGCUCGAUUAGGAUCCGAGAGGCGGUCGAUCAUCGUAGAAACUUGGGUGGAGUCUGGUUACUGUAGAAAUCUUAUUGUCGGGGA